UGCAAAGAGUCCGCGCGCACAGACAGCCCUUCUAGUCAUGGGAAAUGUAGGCCGACUGCAAAGAUCACACAUGCUAUUUUAUCUGAUUUUAUUUUGAAUGUAAAGUCUAACAAAGUACAGUGAAUGUAAGAGUAAAUUGUGUUAUCCAGUCCUUUCUUUGUAAAUUAUACAAUGUUUUGUUAUUUUAUGUUUUGCAAGUUAUUUUGCCAUUAGAUGGCAGUGUAGCCUUAAAAGUGGGACGACUAUUCUAAAAUGACUGGGUAGCAGACGGGGCGCUGUUCGGAAGCCACUAUCAACAAUCUCUCACAGUCUCACGUCAUAAUUAGACACAUUCAUCCAUGUUUCUCAAAUUUCAAAGUGUUUAAGGUUAAGUUGAGGCAUUAACUCCGAAAUCUUAAGGUUAGGCGUUUACUCCGAAUUCAAAAAUCUCAAACAACUUUCUAUUGCUGGUUUCAGACUUGGAACCUUUGGAAUCAGAGGCCGAUGCUUACUGUUGCCCCUAGUGGCUAGUUCCCAGGUUCCAUGUAAAAAAAGAAAGCUUCUUACCAAAGAGCAAUUUCUCAAGCAAGAAUUUUGCUAGGACUUUCUGGAAGUGGUUUGAGUGGGGAGGGGAAAACUAAAAACGAGCUAUUAUUGGCAGAGGGGUUUGGAACUCUCUUUCUUAUUGGUCUAUUAACUAAUUUACCACCUGGUGAUGUCACCAGGCAGGCCAAAACUCCAUCUGACCAAAACAGGCUGUAAUUUCAGGCAGUCUUGUCAAACAGCUUUUCCACUAGAGGGCAUUAUCAUAAUUUUCACAAUUUCGCAGUAUCACAGUUUUUUCCAAUUGCUAACACACUAAAAUGACAUCCACAGCACAAUUAUUUAAACUGACACACAGAGAGCAAAGCCUCUUCUCAAGUCUCCAAAAGUCUAAACACAUUUUCUGCUUUACACACAUUUUGCAAUUCAUAAUGGCACUUAUUAAAUGCACUGCACACGGUUCUCUGCAUAAGACACAACAAUCUGACAUAAAGUCACAUGUUUGCCAUUUCAAAACACUGCCAUUCAAAAUUACACUACAUGAGCUAAUUGGCCAAUACAUGUGCCACCUGGCCAAACACCUCAAUGGUUAAUUGUUACCACUUCAAUCAGGAAGUAAGCACUAUGAAAAGACCACAGGUGAGCACCUUUUGUUUUACAACAACAAUGGAAGCCGUUGCAGAGAGAGGAAAAGGGAGGGUGAGAAUGAGAGAGAGGGGGAGGAAGAGUGAGAGGUAGGAGUAGAGCUGGUAGAGGAGUUCAUGUCCAAAGAAGACAACAACUUUCAAAUGAAAUCAGAGCAACCUUAGUUGAUCAUGUCAUCAACCAUGGGCUGACAAUGCGAGAGGCUGGACAGAGAGUGCAGCCCAACUUGAGCCAUUGGAGUACAGACGCAACCAUGGUGGAGGAAGGGGCCAAAUGUUCACCGGGGUACAUGAAGCUGCCAUUGUAAACUUAGUUUUGGAAAAUAAUGAAAUCAGAUUACGAGAAAUUCAAAGCCACAUCAUCCAAGACAACACCAUAUUCAACGAGUCACUGUCCACAUUGGCUCGCAUUCUCAAGCGAAACCAAAUCAGAAUGAAACAACUUUAUAAGGUGCCGUUUAAGAGAAACUCUCAAAGAAACAGAGGUCAGACGAGUAUAUGUGGAUGGAGUACUGGAAAUGGAUGCUCAUGCAAUCCCACAUCUUUAUAGAUGAGGCUGGGUUCAACCUUGCAAAGACCAGAAAAGACCAGAAGAAGGGGGAGAAACGUCAUUGGCCACAGAGCCAUUAUAGAUGUUCCUGGCCAACGUGGUGGGAACAUCACAAUGUGCGCUGCCAUCUCCAAUACACAUGGUGUCCUCCACCGUCAUGCCAACCUUGGACCAUACAACACAGCCCAUAUUCUCACAUUUCUGGACAGACUCCACAACAUUCUCAUACCAUCAAAGAACCCGAUACGUUGUAGUAUGGCACAACGUGAGCUUUCAUCGUGCAGCCCCAGUCCAAAACUGGUUUGCUGACCACCCACUAUUUCUCGUGGAAUACCACCCACCAUACUCACCAUUUCUCAACCCCAUAGAAGAGUUAUUUUCGGCAUGGCGGUGGAAGGUAUACGACCGGCAGCCCUUUGUGCGCAUGCCUCUUGUACAGGCUAUGUGAUGAGAUUGAUGUGGGUGCGAUUCAGGGAUGGAUAAGGCACUCAAGGCGCUUCUUCCCUCGAUGUCUGGCAAGGGAAGAUAUUGCCUGUGAUGUGGACGAGGCGUUGUGGCCAGACCCAGCUGUGCGGAAAGAUGCUGCCUAAUUAUUCUUCUUGCCUCUUUUCUAUAUUUUUUUUCUGCCCAUUAUUUAUUUUUUUUCUGCAAUUUUCUUUUUCAGUUUUGUUUUUUUGUCAGCAUAUUUUUGUUCAGUCCAAUGUAACUAUCUGCUGUGCACUGACUUGUUUGGUGAAAAAAUAAAAUGUUUCAACAGCAUGUGUGUAUCUGCAAAUAUUUCUGUGCAUCUGAAGAAUUUUCUACAAUUUAAACUAUUUUAGU